AUACCACUGCACUCCAGCCUUGGCAACAGAGUGAGAUCCUGUCUCCAAAAAAAUAAAAAUAAAAAAUAAAAAUAAAAUAAAGAAUAAAGAACUGGCCUCAAACCUCAAACUUACACAUUUGUACUUUCUGUGAUUCCCACUUUUUCUCCUUUCUGAAAAUCAGACUACUUACCCAUUUCUUGUCUUUGGAAACCACUCCCAUGAGCCACACUUCCUCUGAGAUUGCCCAUUGUAGUAGUUAUAUGGUACCUGAAUUUCCUUCAGAACCAUGGAGUGUAAUUCUCAAGGUCUAGACACUGGAACUCAUAAAAACCACCAGGUGAAAUCUUGUCUGUCUUGGGCAAACUAAAACAAACUAUGGCAACUGUCAUGCGUAGUUUUCAACUAUGAAUAGACUCAGAAAUACGUGGUAGGUAGUAAUUUGUUAUUUUGCUGAGGCAUUGGACUCUGGCCCACUGUCAUAAUUGUAAGUGACAUAAGCAUGCCUAGCUGAGCCCAGCUAAAUGUCUAACAUGCCCGUCUCAACUGUGUGCUUCGUAUUCUUACUCUUUUCUCUUCACAGUGAUUAUGUCUUUUCUGUCUGUAUGAAAAUGAUGCUGAACAGCCAGGUGCAGUGGCUCAUGCCUGUAAUCCCAGCACUUUGGAAGGCCAAGGCAGGUAGAUCACCUGAGUCAGAGUGGCAGGAAGCAAAUGAUUUCAAAGCCCAGAUGAUGACAGAGCCCCAUCGUGGAAGGGGCUUGGAUCCCUGAGUCACUGCUUGGAGAAGAGCUGCCUGGGAUGACUUCCUGAUCAUGAACAUCCACAUUGGACUUUGAGCAAGGAAUAAACAUCCUAUCUUAAGACAAUGUGAUUUGGAGUUUUUGGCAUAUGACCAGCUUCAAUUACCCUGCAUAAUGUACACGUUUUUUCCCUCUUUCCCAGGUAACUCACAUGCCUCCCAGAUGUUUAUAUUUGGAAGGAGGGAAGAAGACCCAAAUAAUAACUGAGAUCAAAUUUCUCACCAACUCAUUGGGACUCUGAGAGAUGCAUUUCAUUUGAUUUAAAGAAAAUAAAUUACUUUGAAACUAGAUUUGACAUUAUUCCUCCAUCUGUAUUACUUUUGAUUUAUGGGCAAGACAUAAACUGAGUAAUUCUGGCCUGACAGACAAGGUUCCCCAACACGUACCUAAUGGUGGUCCCUCCCACCCAGAUAAGUAUUGGCUUCUUGACCUUUCACUCCCAUCCUGUUACUGUCAGACCUGCUCAGCCCUUCCUCAGUAUGGUCAGGAGUCUUGAAGGCCUGGAGAGCAAAGAGUUAAGUCCUUCUUUCAGGUCUUUUUCUCCUGCAGUCGAUUAAUUAGAUUGAAAUUUCAACUUCAAACUGCUCUGCUGAUCUCUAGCUAAUGCUGUCACCUGAAAUACUGCCCACCACACAUGAGCUUUUGACAGCAAGAGCCGCUCAAAAGCCUCUUCAUGCCUCUAUUCCAGGAAUAACCCAAGGAAAGGGUAGAUAUCUGUGAAAGCUGAGUACUGAAGCCCUCUCUGUCCACCGCUUCAAAAGAAUAACUACCAUCGGUCUGCCUUUAUUUUGUAUUUUAGUUCCUCUUUGUCAAUGAAAAGUUCCUGCUCUCUAUUCAUUAUAAAGAAUAAAGAGCUUUUCAAGUGUGAGUUGCUAAACCCAGAAGGGAACAGAGCUAUUUUUAAGAGGGUUUCAACUCUGAGCUGUUACAUCGACCAGCCUGCCGGCAGCGGAGGUCUUCCAGGGAGGCUGAAGGCAAGAGCGGCUUCUCUUCAGGUGGGCAUCUCAGGGAGGAAGCUCCUGGGGCUGAAAUGGUCUAGCUCUUUGGCCCACAGGCAGCCCUGGUGCCUUCGAACCUGGCUCCUCAAGACAGAGCUUGCAAGGGGGUCAGGGGAGUCACUGUGAUUCUCACCCAUUUGAGGUCUGCCUGCUGCCUUGGGUUUCUCACAUCCACUUCCUCCAUGCAAGAAACAAUCUGCUUGAUUCUCCUCCGGGGGCACAGGGAGGAGGGGGGUGUCUUUAUGUCCUCUCCUAUCUUCGUCAAGCCAUAUGCAACUGGCAGCCAGCACGCUUCUCUCUGUGGGAAGAGGAUCAUCAGAGCUGGAUUCCUGACUGAAAGGAGGAACAUGCAGAGUUGCCUGCCUCCUGGCCAACAGGAGUGAAAUCCUCUUGGCUUGGGUCUGUCCAGAGCUCUUCUGAAGUCCAUACACUGUAGGGGCAUGGAUGGGCUCUCAGAUUCAGAGUUAGAGGACCUGGAUUCAAGUCUCACCUCUCUGAGCCUCUGUUCUCCGAGGCUACAAUGAGGAUAAUGGUACUUUGCUAUCAGAGGUGCUGCAGGGAGGAUGACCCAUCCUCACAUGUGUAUGGAUAGUCUGUGGACCCUGCAGUGUCAUGCGUGGUGAUCACUGCUCUGAGGGUCAGUGAGAUACGUGUUAUAGUGUCUUUUAAGGACAGAAAAUGAUGCCAUUGGAUGACAGAGGAGAUACUGAAAAUUUGAUAGAAACAACUAAUGAUUUGGAGGAAUGAGAGUCUGUUUUCUAUCCUCCCAUUCCAUUCAGUUCCCCCACCAGAGAAAAGGGGCAGGGAAUUAAAACGAUUGCUUUGCUCUAAUAGCUUUUGGAAGUUAAAGAUGGGCAUAUGUACUAAAAUGCUAAGAGAGAACCAAAAGGAUCAACUAAUUUUUUACAGAGUGGCUAAAGAUAAUAGAGAAACCUACAUGAUUAUAUUGCAUCUUGUACUACAGAGGAUUUAUGAGAGCUUAUAAUAAAUUUUAAAAUUGUUAUUAUUUAUUUAUUUUUAUGUUUUUAAUUGAUAUAUAAUAGAUGCACAUAUUUCAGGGGUACAUGUGAUCAUUUGAUGCAUUCCUGUAAUCACAUCAGGAUAAUUAGAAUAUCAAUCACCUUAACUAUUAUUCUUUAUGCUAGGAACAUCCUAAUUAUUCUCUUCUAUCUGUUUUGAAAUAUACAAGAGAUUAAUGUUAACUAUAGUCACCCUACUGAUCUACAAAAUACCAAGUCUUAUUUCUUUUAUUGUACUGUGUAUUUGUAUCCUUUAAUUACCCUGUCUUUAUCACCCCACCCCUCUAUCUUUCCUGGCCUCUGGUAAUCACCAAUCUACUUUGCAUCUUCACGAGAUCUACCAGUAAGUUGUUUUUUUUUUUAAGGAAAACUUAUAGACAUAAAAAUGUAGGCAAAAUAGGAUGAUUAGAUCCAAGAGAAAAGAUACUGCACAUAUAAACAGGUGACAAGGA